UCCCCACCUCGCCCCCCUUCCCGCUCCGGUCCUCUUUGUCCCCGCUGCCUCGGAGCGCUCCUCUCUCUCCUCCUUUCCUCGGCCGAAACGGACGCCAGCCCUGCGUCCCGUGUGUCCCACCCUCCUCCUGCGCGACCACCGCUUCCCCGGGCCCCAACAUCCCCAGGCCGUCUGCUCCCUUCCUGUCGCUUUCCUCCCCACGCCCCGCUUCCUUCCUUACGGGUGCCUGUGCCCGGGCCCCUCUCCUCCACCCCGCCUUGCCUUUCGAAUGUCCCCUGCGUGGACACACCUAACCCAGACGCCAACCUGCAAGAGUGUCUCCCGGUAGCCGGGAACCGGGACCCCAAGUUCACCUGUAGGAUUUCCCAGAAGGGGUGUUGGGGCCUGACCUUUCACAGAUAGCUCUUACAAGGAGCCAAAAGUCUGGAAAGCUAAGUUUUUCUUUGCAGACUCACAGUCCUCACCUUCUGCUCAUUCUGUUUUGCAUCUGGAGCAAUCUGAGCUUGAUUAAAGGACGAAGAAAAGUAUAAUCAAAGUUACAGAGACUAAACCUGAACUUGUAAUCAGACUUCGAGGAUCAGGAAUAUAAAUACGCUUCGCAGUGGAAACCCGCUAGCUGCAAGAAUGGGAAUUGCAAGUGGGCUGAUGUACUGCAUUCAGCUUUGGGCGUGGAGCCUAGAAAAUGAAGCGAGAACUUUACCCCUAAGGCUCUCAGGAGUUAGGAAUGCUCAAUGACAAUCCCUAACUUCUGGCCAUUGUUUUGGAAAAGUCUUUCUCUUAAAUUUCCCUUCCCUGUUAGGAUGCAAAUGCUUUUGAGAAGGGAACAAUACUCAUCCGUCUGCAUUUUAUUAUUUGAUUUAGGAUGUAAGGUAAGCAAAAGAUCUGAGUCUAGAUUUUGAUUUGGGGGGAGGGGAAGAAUCCGGGUGAUGAGCUGAAGAUGUGUAUGUUGAGGCAUUUAGAAUUCGAAAAUCACUGGAACAGAAAAAGGGCAUUGGGGAAGGCUGCUAACUUGACGAUUUUGCCCAAUCUCCACGCAUUUGGCAGCUAGCUAUAUUUAUUUAUUUAUUUAUUUAUUUAUUUAUUUAUUUAUUUAUUUAAGUACCUACCAUGUGCCAGACAUGAUUUUAGGCACUUGUGAAUGAGAAAGAGGAUUCGAUUCCCAACAUGACACAUAAAGAGGACUAUGAAUUGAGCUCUUGGAACACAAAAUACACACGUACUCACAUGCACACGUGUAUACAUACCCUGAACCAUCCCAGUCACCUGGAGAUACUGACAUGGCACAGCCACUAGCUGCUGUUGAGAGAAGCAACAUGAGAAACAAACUCACAUACAGUGUGAAGGAUGCCAGCCUUUACAUCCCCAUGGUAUUUGUAUAAGAAGGCUCAAGGGACGAGGCAGUGCACACUGAUAGAUCAUUGCUGAAUCCCAAGAACCUCAGACCGUGCUUGGUACAUAGUUUGUUUGCAGGAAAUAAAUAUUCAUUAAAGAAAGAAAGUUUAGAAAGAACAUGGGAAGGAAGAAGGAAAAAAAAUCAGAAUGUUUUAAUAGUGUAAUUUAUUUGCAGGGAACCUUAAGGCAGGAUUUGAGAAGAGUGUAUCCAGGGCCUCUGAUGUGAAUUAGAACAAUCUACCUUGGGUAGGGUGGGGGCCUUUUGCACCCUGCUGUUGUAGACUCUUCGUAAAUGUUAAAACUAGGAUCCUAUGUGGUUUCCUUUAGAAAUGAUCUGAUUAUACUCUCCAUUGCUUUCGCACUAUCAUCUAAUUUUAAGGGUUCCAGUGGUUUUGAAGACUAUCCAUUAAAAACUUUAGAAUGAUGCUUUAAAAAAUUAAAUGCAAUUGUAACUGUCAUGGUAUUUGUUAUCUUAAGGGUGUCACUGUUUUCAGUCUGUCAGCAGUCUUGUUUCUGAAAGCCAUAGACAAAGGUUUCCUUUAUACUGGAUUAGCCUUGAAUUUGAAGAAACUUCUCCAAGAACAUAUCUUAAAUGUGCUUUGAAUUUAUGCUGAACAAUGCUAACAGUUAUUGACUUAGAAGGGCAGCAGAAGAAUCAAUUCUGCAGCCAAAAUGCAACUUCUGGGCAUAAGAAAAUUCCUUUAGGGUUUUGAGAUGAUUUGGAUCAAAACUGUCCAUCUUAUUAUAAUGCUUGAUGUUUCUAAUUAAAUAGUUGAUGUCAUCCAAGAAUCCCUUAAAAAUGGGGAGAAAAUACACAAACUUUACGUUGUGGGAAAACUACCUUACAUCUUGACAGAAGCUGAAACCUUUCUCUACUUUAUCUGGUUUCAAAUUAUGCAAGAAAGUCCCCACGAGGACUUCAUUAAACCUGCCAGAGUUUUAUAACCAAAAACCUCACUGGAACCCCCACUUUUACAAAUCUAUGAAAGUAAUUUAACCCCUCCGUGUUCUGCUUGCCCAAGAUGAGACGCAAAUACUAUUAAACAGUAUAUACAGUUUAA